AAGGAUCAUUGUCGAACACCGAAAAAUCGGACGAACGCGAACCCGUCAACCUAACGCCCCGCCCUCGGGCGGGGCAACACCCCCGCGGAAGGACGACCCUCGGGCCGGACUCCCGUGGGAACAAACCCCGGCGCGGUGGGCGCCAAGGAACACUCGAUCACAGCGAAGAACCUCCGUGCCGGCCCCCGUCGAACGGGACGAGGCGUGGGGGGACAUCGCGUACCACAUAGAAUUAUGUACAACAGUACGACUCUCGGCAACGGAUAUCUAGGCUCUCGCAUCGAUGAAGAACGUAGCGAAAUGCGAUACUUGGUGUGAAUUGCAGAAUCCCGUGAACCAUCGAGUCUUUGAACGCAAGUUGCGCCCAAGGCCAUCCGGCCGAGGGCACGCCUGCCUGGGCGUCACGCCUCGUAUCGCUCCACCAAACCAACCCUUCGGGGAGGGGAUAAGCGGACGCGGAUGUUGGCCCCCCGUACCUUGCGUGCGGCGGGCUCAAGUGAGGGCCGUCGUCGGGCAUAGCGCGGCGAGUGGUGGACGAUUUAACAAACGGCUCCGUCAACGCGCUACGGCCCACCAUCGUCAAUACCGGCCCGGAACAAAGGACCCCUACCGGGA
rnacentral:rRNA from 1 species